rnacentral:rRNA from 1 species
ACCGAGGCUAAUACCGCAUAAUACCCACGGGUCAAAGGAGCAAUUCGCCUUGAGGAGGAGGUCGCGGCCCGAUUAGUUAGUUGGCGGGGUAAUGGCCCCACCAAGACGGUGAUCGGUAUCCGGCCUGAGAGGGCGCACGGACACACUGGAACUGAAACACGGUCCAGACUCCUACGGGAGGCAGCAGUGGGGAAUUUUGCGCAAUGGGGGAAACCCUGACGCAGCAACGCCGCGUGGAGGAUGAAGUCUCUUGGGACGUAAACUCCUUUCGAUCGGGACGAUUAUGACGGUACCGGAAGAAGAAGCCCCGGCUAACUUCGUG